UAAUUAACCGGAGGAAAAGAAACUAACAAGGAUUCCCUCAGUAAGGGCGACUGAAGCGGGAAGUGCUCACCGUGUGAAUCUGUACAACAAUUAUGUUGUGCCGAAUUGUGGUCUGUAGAAGUAUUGUCUGAUGGCGUCUCGGGUUAAGUCCUUUGGAAAAAGGCAGCAGAGAGGGUGAGACUCCCGUUCUUGCCUGGGACGUUCGUCAAUGGCACAUGCCUUCAACGAGUCGAGUUGUUUGGGAUUGCAGCUCAAAGUGGGUGGUAAAUUCCAUCUAAAGCUAAAUAUUGGUGGGAGACCGAUAGCGAACAAGUACCGUGAGGGAAAGAUGAAAAGAACUUUGAAAAGAGAGUUAAAGAGUACCUGAAAUUGCUGAAAGGGAAGCAAAGGAAACCAGUGUUGUUUGUGCUCAUUUUUCUCCUGCUGCUUGCAACAGGGGCGCUGUGAGUACGAAUAGGCCAGCAUGGGUUUGGACCGGGGCAAAUCUUUACAUUGGAGGUAGAUCUAUUUCAGAUUGAAGACUUUGUAUUUGUGCUCUGGUUUAGACUGAGGCUAGCAUGUG
rnacentral:rRNA from 1 species